UACGUAGGGUGCAAGCGUUGUCCGGAUUUAUUGGGCGUAAAGAGCUCGUAGGCGGUCUGCCGCGUCGGAUGUGAAAACCCAGGGCUCAACCCUGGGCCUGCAUUCGAUACGGGCAGACUAGAGUGUGGCAGGGGAGACUGGAAUUCCUGGUGUAGCGGUGAAAUGCGCAGACAUCAGGAGGAACACCGGUGGCGAAGGCGGGUCUCUGGGCCAAUACUGACGCUGAGGAGCGAAAGCGUGGGGAGCGAACAGG
rnacentral:rRNA from 1 species